GUAAAGAUUGUCAAACAGAGAAAAAUAAUUCACUGAUUGUAUUAAUAAGAUUAUUCACGUUAUUUAACAUCAUAAAAGGAAAGUAACAAAGUUUCCAAGAUUCAACUUAAACUGCAAUUAAAAAUUAAACCACCAACCCCACCCUAGGGUUACAAUAUCAGAGCUCGUAGCGACUACAAAUUAUUCAACUACUAAAUAACAAAACCAAACGGAAGGCAUCCCAUCAUCUCCAUCCUCUAAAACGUCCCACAGCUACUCCUUGUCAACCUGAGUAUCUGUACUCAGGGUACAGUCACCGUACAGAAAACAACACAACAAAAUAAGGGGUGAGAAAUCCUGCCAUAACAAAAUAAUAGGGAAAAACAUGCACAUUAAAAUAAAUAUCAAAAGAAUAUAGUCUCCACUAUCUCAUCAUUCUCAACAGUUACUAUGUAUAAUCUCUUCAUUUUACAUGUCACAGCAGCACAUCAUAUUCACACUCAAACACCCAAUACA
rnacentral:lncRNA from 1 species